UGAUGCAGAGCUUUGCAUGCAGCCAGGAACUGUCAUCCAGAGCUGAUUUCAGACAUAUUCACUGAGCAAAAGAAAACAGACUGUGAAUAAUAGGGUGACCAAAGCACCGAUGGUGCCCUGACUGUGAAUAAUAGGGUGACCAAAGCACCGAUGGAGCCCUGAAAAGUGUUAAAACAACAGCUGAAAUACUUGAUUUAAUAGCAAAAGAUGCAAAAGAUGCAGCUUCCAGCCAAAGAGGGAUGUUAGGCUUUUACAUUGAGGGUGGUGAUGCACGGGUUGCCCAAGGAGGCUGUGGAUGCCCCAUCCCUGCAGGCAUUUAAAGCCACCCUGGGCAUCCUGGGCUGCUGGUUGCUGACCCUACACACAGCAUGGGGUUGGAUCUGGAUGAGCAUUGAGGUCCUUUUCAACCCAACGCCAUUCUAUGAUCUCUAAACCCAAUCCCCCUAUUCCCAACCCAAGGAGCUGGGUAGGCCGCAGUGCAGCGGGGUAGGCCGCAGUGCAGCGGGCCGUCUCCAUGGCAACGGCCGCCAUGACACCCCUCCGCGGGCCGCUCUACGCUACCGAACUCAUCUCUAUGGUUCUAACAUAGGGGUCGGGAUGGGAGUGAGUCCUCCAGGCCGCAAGGGGGCGCUGUGGGGCGGGGCGGAGCAGUGAGAGGGGCCGGGCCGGGCCGGGCGGAGCGGCCGCUGCCAUGGACGCGCUGUACCGGGCCGAGCCCCGGCCCCGCCGCACAACGGCCUCAUCCCCGUUACCUUGGGCCCGAUUCUCCGCCUGGUUGGACUGUGUCUGCGUGGUCACAUUCGAUCUGGAGCUGGGACAGGCCAUGGAGUUGGUGUAUCCUCAUGACUUCAGAUUAACAGAGAAAGAGAAGACGAGUAUCUGCUACUUGUCCUUCCCCGACUCCUAUUCAGGUGGCCUGGGGGACACGCAGUUCAGCUUCCGCCUGCGCCAGUCUGGGGGGCAGAGGAGCGCUCACUAUGAGGACGAUGGCGAGUACAACAGAGAGGCACCCCUCACACUGCAGCGGGAGUCAGCGCAUUACUUUGGUUACGUAUACUUCAGGCAAGUCAAGGACAGCUCGAUGAAAAGAGGUUAUUUUCAGAAGUCUCUGGUGCUGGUGUCGCGCCUUCCAUACGUGAACUUGUUCCAGUCGUUGCUGCAGCUGAUUGCUCCGGAAUACUUUGAUAAGCUGGAGCCAUGCCUGGAGGCAGUGUGCAAUGAGAUCGACCAGUGGCCGCCUCCAGUGCCAGGACAGACCCUGAACCUGCCAGUGAUGGGGGUUGUCAUUCAGGUGAGAAUCCCAUCCAGGGUGGAUAAGCCAGGAUCAAGCCCGGUGAAGCAGUUCAAUCAAGAGAAUCUCCUACCAGCCCCACUGGUUCUCCCAAGCAUUCACGAACUGGAUCUCUUCAGGUGUUUCCAGCCAGUGCUUAUUCACGUACAGAUGUUAUGGGAGCUGAUGCUGCUGGGAGAGCCAAUUGUUGUAAUGGCACCAUCCCCUACAGUCUCUUCUGAAAUGGUUCUGGCUCUCACCAGCUGCCUUGCUCCCCUGAGGUACUGCUGCGACUACCGCCCCUAUUUCACUAUCCAUGACAGUGAAUUUAAAGAAUAUACCACCAGGACACAAGCUCCGCCUAACAUUGUUGUGGGAGUCACGAACCCUUUCUUUAUCAAAACACUCCAGCACUGGCCUCACAUCCUUCGUGUUGGGGAGCUCAAGAUGUCAGGUGACCUGCCCAAGCAAGUCAAGGUGAAGAAGCUAACUAAACUAAAAACCCUCGACACAAAACCAGGAAUCUACACCGCGUACAAAACGUUCCUUCACAAAGACAAAACUCUGAUAAAGAGGUUGUUAAAGGGCAUCCAGCGGAAACGCCCGUCUGAAGUCCAGAGCGCCCUUCUGAGGCGGCACCUCCUGGAGCUCACCCAGAGCUUCAUUAUUCCCCUGGAGCACUACAUUGCAAGUCUGAUGCCUCUGCAGAGGGCCAUCACUCCAUGGAAAAAUCCCCCACAGAUUCGUCCUUUCCGCCAAGAUGAUUUCAUGAAGACCCUGGAACACGCUGGUCCCCAACUUACCUGUGUCCUUAAGGGUGACUGGUUGGGUCUUUACAGGCGUUUCUUCAGGUCUCCCAACUUUGAUGGCUGGUACCGUCAGAGGCACAAGGAAAUGACCCAGAAGCUGGAAGCCCUUCACUUGGAGGCCAUCUGUGAAGCGGCCCUUCCCGAGCCAACAGAGCCCCAGACUGGAAACGUCACCUGUUGCUGGCUCCCUUAAUGCCUAUUGAAAAUAGAACAUUGCGGCGUGGAUGAAGGACAAGUCGGAGGUGGAGAUCGUAGACCUGGUGCUAAAACUCCGCGAGAAGCUGGUAAGAGCCAGGUGCCAGCAUCUCCCUGUGAAGGAGGAGACCCUGCAGCGCGUGGGCCUUUACAUCGAGACCAUCAUUGACUCCUUGCCUGAGGAUCUACAGGCCGUGCUGCACCACCACUGAGUGCACUGAGGGGCUGCAGCAGAAGGAAGGGCCCUCACCCGCUGUGAGCAGCUGCUUGGAAAGGAAACCUCUGAUCCAGCCACCACGGCCCCGUCGGGACCUUCAUAAGGUCUUUGGUUUCUAAGCACGCGGAUCAGAACCGGAGCAGAAAUGGGAACCCACGUGCACUGUUCUGUCUUGUCCUGCUGCAAGGAGCUGGAUUGAGGGGCCUGCAAAUGAAAACCAGUUUCCUGCGUGGCUGUUAGUAGGUCAGAAAGCGGCAGCAUGUGAUAGGCUGUGCAAAACAUGUUUUGCCCAUAUAUACACAUCCAUCUUUGCCUAGUGCUUGGGCUCUCAGUGCCGUCAUCCUGCCUGGAAGAAGUGGGACCAGCCCUGUAUGGGGGAGUUGUUUUUAGGGCAGCUCCUGCUGGUAACGAGGGGGAUGUUAGUUCCCCACAUAGAAACCAUGUGGAAAAGAAUUGAUGCUGCCCAUUCAGCAGCCAGAGCUUCAGCUGUGAUGGGAGUGGGAGGCUGAAUUGCUGGAUGUGAAAGGCUGUUUUUUCUCCAAGGCAAAGAGAAAAAGGGACUGGUGCAUCUGCAAGGAGCAGAGCUCUCCAGAGAGGGCAGAUGUGCACCGUGUGAAUGGCAACAGCCAACACAGCUCUGCAGAGAGGAGCUGGUCUCCAACUGGAAUUGAUUCUGCUUGGGAAAAUCGAGUGUGUGCGCUCUGGUAUCAUGUAGAAUUGGAGCUCUGCCUUGGGCAGCAAGCUAUGUCUAACACGGUUAGAUGAUAAAGCACGGCGGAGGAUCUGAUUCAGGCAGUCCCACCAUCGCUGCAUCUGCUGUUGCAUUCCACCAUCUGCCAUUUGGCCAGAGUCCUGGUGUGUACCUGGAGGAUGGUUCUGCAGGAUGAGCUGGGUAGGUUGAUGCACUGCUCACGCAGGAGCAGAGGUGAGCACUCAAAUCAUGCAGAGCUGCUGAAGCUCUCCAUUGCGUGGAGCGAGCUGCCGCCUGCUUCAGCCUCAGCCCAUGGGGUAACGUCAAUAAGAGGUGGAGGUGAUGGAAUCCCGUCUGAGUUCUCCCACCCCAGAGCACAGCUGGGGCAGCACGGAGGGGUGGUGGGGCUGCUCUUCCUGCUGCCUUCAGCCUGGAAGCAGCAAAGCAAGGAGCCUCGGCUGUACCGCCCCAUUGCAACCCGUUUGUGCCACGCUCCUUAGCAGCAGCCCUCCUUGUACAGUGUAUAUGGUGUAUAUAGUCCAUGCGUGUGUUGCUGCUCUGAUAGCUCUGCAGUGACUGUGGUGGACUGAAGCACUAAUGUAUAGUAGAAAAUAAUAGUUCAAGAACCACAAAGCUGAGCUAAGCUGUUCCUUG